GACGAACGCUGGCGGCGUGCUUAACACAUGCAAGUCGAGCGGUAAGGCCCUUUCGGGGGUACACGAGCGGCGAACGGGUGAGUAACACGUGGGUGACCUGCCCUUAGCUCUGGGAUAAGCCUGGGAAACUGGGUCUAAUACCGGAUAUGACCUCAUGACUCAUGUUGUGGGGUGGAAAGCCUUGUGCGGCUAGGGAUGGGCCCGCGGUCUAUCAGCUUGUUGGUGGGGUAAUUGCCUACCAAGGCGACGACGGGUAGCCGGCCUGAGAGGGCGACCGGCCACACUGGGACUGAGACACGGCCCAGACUCCUACGGGAGGCAGCAGUGGGGAAUCUUGCGCAAUGGGCGAAAGCCUGACGCAGCGACGCCGCGUGAGGGAUGACGCC
rnacentral:rRNA from 1 species